AACGAACGCUGGCGGCAUGCCUAACACAUGCAAGUCGAACGAAGCCUUCGGGCUUAGUGGCACACGGGUGCGUAACGCGUGGGAAUCUGCCCUUUGGUUCGGAAUAACAGUUGGAAACGACUGCUAAUACCGGAUGAUGACGAAAGUCCAAAGAUUUAUCGCCAGAGGAUGAGCCCGCGUAGGAUUAGCUUGUUGGUGGGGUAAAGGCGCACCAAGGCGACGAACCUUAGCUGGUCUGAGAGGAUGAUCAGCCACACUGGGACUGAGGCACGGCCCAGACUCCUACGGGAGGCAGCAGGGGGGAAUAUUGGACAAUGGGCGAAAGCCUGAUCCAGCAAUGCCGCGUGAGUGAUGAAGGCCCUAGGGUUGUAAAGCUCUUUUACCCGGGAUGAUAAUGACAGUACCGGGAGAAUAAGCCCCGGCUAACUCCGUGCCAGCCGCCGCGGUAA
rnacentral:rRNA from 1 species